rnacentral:rRNA from 1 species
ACGUAGGGGGCAAGCGUUAUCCGGAUUUACUGGGUGUAAAGGGAGCGUAGACGGCGGAGCAAGUCUGAAGUGAAAGCCCGGGGCUCAACCCCGGGACUGCUUUGGAAACUGUUCUGCUAGAGUGCUGGAGAGGUAAGUGGAAUUCCUAGUGUAGCGGUGAAAUGCGUAGAUAUUAGGAGGAACACCAGUGGCGAAGGCGGCUUACUGGACAGUAACUGACGUUGAGGCUCGAAAGCGUGGGGAGCAAACAG